rnacentral:rRNA from 1 species
CGAACGCUGGCGGCGUGCCUAACACAUGCAAGUCGAACGGUAACAGGUCUUCGGAUGCUGACGAGUGGCGCACGGGUGAGUAACGCGUGGAUAUCUGCCUAUUAGUGGGGGACAACUUCGGGAAACCGAAGCUAAUACCGCAUAAUCUCUACGGAGGAAAGCAGGGGACCUUCGGGCCUUGUGCUGAUAGAUGAGUCCGCGUCUGAUUAGUUAGUUGGUGGGGUAAAGGCCUACCAAGACGAUGAUCAGUAUCUGGUUUGAGAGGAUGAUCAGACACACUGGAACUGAGACACGGUCCAGACUCCUACGGGAGGCAGCAGUGGGGAAUAUUGCACAAUGGGCGAAAGCCUGAUGCAGCGACGCCGCGUGUGGGAAGAAGGCUUUCGGGUUGUAAACCACUUUCAAUUGGGAAGAAGAGAUGAGAGCUAAUAUCUCUCUGAUUUGACGGUACCUUUAGAAGAAGCACCGGCUAAUUUC